rnacentral:rRNA from 1 species
UCAGAUCACGUAAGAAUUUAAAAGUCGAACAGACUUUAAGUUUAAGCUGCUGCACCUAAAACUGUAUCUUAAUCCAACAUCGAGGUCGCAAUCUUUUUUAUCAAUAUGAACUCUCUAAAAAAAUUACGCUGUUAUCCCUAAAGUAACUUGAUUUCUUAAUCAUUAAUAAUGGAUCAAUAAUUCAUUAAUUUAUGUUUAUUAUAAAUUAAAAGUUUAACAAAUUUUAAUAUCACCCCAAUAAAAUAUAUAAAUUUAUAAUAAUUUAAUUUAUCUAUAUAAUUAAAAUAAUUUAUAUAUAAAGAUUUAUAGGGUCUUCUCGUCUUUUAAAAUUAUUUUAGCUUUUUAACUAAAAAAUAAAAUUCUAUUAUAAAUUUAUAUGAAACAGUUAAUAUUUCAUCCAACCAUUCAUACCAGCCUUCAAUUAAAAGACUAAUGAUUAUGCUACCUUUGCACAGUUAAGAUACUGCGGCCAUUUAAAAAAUUNNNGNGGNCAGGCUAGACUUUAAAUUAAAUUCAAA